rnacentral:rRNA from 1 species
UACGUAGGUGGCGAGCGUUGUCCGGAUUUACUGGGCGUAAAGGGAGCGUAGGCGGACUUUUAAGUGAGAUGUGAAAUACCCGGGCUCAACUUGGGUGCUGCAUUUCAAACUGGAAGUCUAGAGUGCAGGAGAGGAGAAUGGAAUUCCUAGUGUAGCGGUGAAAUGCGUAGAGAUUAGGAAGAACACCAGUGGCGAAGGCGAUUCUCUGGACUGUAACUGACGCUGAGGCUCGAAAGCGUGGGGAGCAAACAGGAUUAGAUACUCCCGUA